rnacentral:lncRNA from 1 species
CACCAUGCUAGGCUCAGACGUGGGGCCUUGGGUGGGAUGUAGGCAGUGGCUCUUUGCACGGGGUGUGGCUAUAACUGGGACCUCCAGGUGGUGGCUCAUGGUUGCACUGGGGAAGUAAACUAAUCUAGGCAUAAAAGUUGAUGAAGCUGUAGCACCAGGAGUCCAAGCUGUGAAGGAAGUUGAGUCCUUCCUCCGCCAGCAGCAGACUGUGAGCUGCAGAGUCAAAUAUGAUGGAAAGUUUCCUUUUGAGAGGAGAAAAAAAU